CUGCUGUGCCUUUAUCUCUGCGGUUCCUCUUUGCUGUGACAGAUUUUGCAGCCAAAACCAAACGCAGACACCAAAGCGUUUGUUCCCCAGCAGCACCGAAUGUCUGGCAUUUCUGCUUUGUUCUGUUGGUAACAGCACACCAUGCUGUGAUGUCCCAUAUCAGCAUCUCUGUGGGGCUGGGCUGCCUCCUCUAUGUGUCCCAUCCAUGUCCCAUCUGCUGCCUGCCCGAGGUUGUAGUGAGCCCUAAUCCAGGAUUCCUAUGGGGCCCAGGAGAGCACAGAGCAGCACAAAGGGCAGCACACGAUGUGAUGCUGAGCUCAGCCCAGUCGGUUCUGAUAGGGAUCAAGGGGGAGGGCUGUGCUGGUGCGAACAUCUACGUGCUGCCAUCAGAUAUAAGUGUUUACAGGAACCAAGGCCGUCAGCAGCCCCGGGUUCUCACUCAUUUCCUGCUCUUUUGCUCACUGAGCUGCACUGCAGGGAUGGCUGCUGCCCCCUCCGGCCAGGAAAACCCCAUGGCUGUCCCCAUCCAUGUGUGCAAUGAGUGCAUCAGUUCUCAGCCCAACCUUGUUGGGGUUAUCCGCGUGCCAUGGGGUGUCUGUGUGCCACAGUGUUUCUCACCCCGCAGCUUUGGGGCUGUGUUGCAGAUCCCAUCAUAUCCCAUUUCCAUUGCUGCAGAUGAGUUUUGCUCUCUGUGGGGUCCCCCUCCCGUGCUCAUGGGGUACAGAACAGCCCAGACCCUCCUCAACUCCAAUCACUUGUACCUUCCUAUGACCUCUGUUCCCCCCCUCUCCCAACCCCUCACUCACAACUGAUGCCAGACUUUGGCUGUGACUCCCUCCCUUCACCCCACUCCUACACCCCCAUUGUGCUGCAGCUCCUCUUACGCUUCCGUUUCUGCUCGAGUGGCCGCGGUGCGAUAGGGGCUGUGGUUUCCUCUGAGCGUGAGAGUGAGGGGAAGGCAGAGCAGGGUUAGGGGGGGGCUCCCAGCCCAGCCCCAGGAUGGCAGCUGCUGGAGGAGCAUCUUUGGGGACCCUCCCCAGGGAGGAGGAGAGCCCUGAGAUGGAUCUCUCCCAUCGCUUCUCCAAGCAAGAGCUGGCCCUGCUCUACCAGGAGGUGCUUUACACCAUCCGGCACCGUCUGGGCAAACCCCAGCCCCAACAUGUUGCUGACAGCAGAGAGCUCUGUGCCUACGUGCAGGAGGCUUUCGGCAUGGAUGCGGAGGAGCACGGGGCCAUCCUGCAGCAGGUCCAGGAGCUGGAGAGCCCCAUUUUCUGUCUGAAAGCCACUGUGAAAGAAGCCAAAGGGAUUUUGGGGAAAGACGUCAGCGGGUUCAGCGACCCUUAUUGCCUGCUGGGCAUCGCAUCCAAGAGCCAGGAGCUGGCCCACCCCGACAGCAAGAGGAGACUGAAGGCUGUGGUCAAGGACCUCAUCCCUGAAGACCAGAUCCAUCGCACACAAAUCAUCAGCCAGACCCUCAACCCUGUGUGGGACGAGACCUUUAUCCUGGAGUUUGAGGACAUAGAAACAGCCAGCUUCCACCUGGACAUGUGGGACUCAGACACGGUGGAGUCAGUGCGGCACAAGCUGGGUGAGCUGACGGAUCUCCAUGGCCUCAAACGGAUCUUUAAAGAUGCUCGGAAGGACAAAGGGCAGGAUGACUUCCUUGGGAACGUGGUCCUCCGCCUGAAGGACCUGCACUGCUGGGAUGACCGCUGGUACCAACUGGAGCCGCGCACAGAGACGUACCCCAACCGGGGCCAAUGCCACCUGCAGUUCCUGCUGACCCACAAGAAGAGAGCCACCACCUGCAGCAGGACGCAGCCGAGCUACACCGUGCACCGCCACCUCCUGCAGCAGCUGGUGUCCCAUGAGAUCCUGCAGCACCAGGCCGGUAGCACUGCCUGGGAUGGGGAGCUGAGCCCACAUGCCAGCACUGUGUUAUACCUACAUGCCACACAAAAGGAUCUCUCCGACUUCCACCAGGUCAUGGCGCAGUGGCUGGCAUACAGCAAGCUGUACCAGAGCCUGGAGUUCAACAGCAGCUGCCUGCUGCACCAGAUCACCAGCAUCGAGUACCAGUGGGUGCAGGAACGACUGCGGCCGGAGCAGAAAGCAGAGCUGGCAGAGUCCUUCCAGUCCUUGCUGACCUAUGGGCUGUCCCUCAUCCGGAGGUACCGCAUCAUCUUCCCCCUGUCUGUCUCGAGGUCCACGGAGCGGCUGCAGUCCCUGCUCAGGGUCCUGGUCCAGAUGUGUAAGAUGAAAGCUUUCAGAGAGCUGUGCACACUCAGCCCUGACCUCCCCGGAAUGGUCUCCGAGGCACUCAAGUCAGGCACAACUGAGUGGUUCCAUAUGAAGAAGCAGCACCUCCAGCCUAUGGUGAAGAGCAUGGAGGAAAACGGCAAAGCUUUGGCCAAACUCCUCUUGGAGGUGAUAGGAGAUCUCCAGCAAUGCCAGAAGAUAUGGAAUAAAUUCUUUAUCAGCACCUUGAAGCUGAAUCUCUUCUCCAUCGCCUACCUGGAGCUGGAGAGCCUGGUUGCGGAGCACGUCCAGGGGCAGCUGCGUGAGGUCGAUGCUGGCAUGUCCAAGCCGACAGCUGAGAGCCUUUUCCAGCUCUACCUGAACCUGCAGGAGCUCUACAGGAUGAAGGACUUCCUCCCAAAGAGGGAUGGUCCUUUGGCUCUGAGUGAUUUCCACCAGUGGUUCAAGGAAGCUGUGCCGCAGUGGCUGCAGAAGGCCUACAGCAUCGCACUGGAGAGAGCACAGAGGGCUGUGCAGAUGGACCAGCUGACACCAUUCGGGGAGCACAACAAGCACAGCACGUCCACUGUUGAUCUGUCCACCUGCUACGCCCAGAUCGUGAAGACCUGGCAGCAACUCAACUGGCCGGACCCUGAGGAAGCCUUCAUGAUCAUGGUGAAGCUGGUGGAGGAUAUGUGCAAAAUCGCCCUGAUGUACUGCCGGCUCAUCAAGGAGAGGGCUGAGGCUCUGUCGCUGUGUGAACAGAACGAGGGGGAAGCAGCCAACAGGCUCUGCAUCGUGGUGAACAACAUCAAGCAGCUGCGGCUGCUCAUCCUGAAGCUGCCAUUGCAGCUGGACUGGGCCCAGCUGGAGCGGCGCACGGGGGCCGUCAUUGACCGGCAGCAGAUCCAGCACACGCUGCACCAUCAGCUCGACAGCGCCGUCUCCUGUUUGGACCACGAGGUCCAGGACGUGGUGCAAGCCCUGGCCACCAAGCUGGAAGCGGGCAUUGCCAGGCACAUCCAAGAGCUGUCAGCCUCCAACAACGCUCAGGAGCCUGAGGAUUCCAUCCUCCCUCUCAUGAAGUUCCUGGAGUCGGAGCUGCAGUACCUCAAUGAGCACCUGGUCCAGGAGAACUUCAAAAGCCUCCUUGCUCUGCUCUGGCAUCACACCUUGGCUGUGCUGACAGCGGCUGCGGGGCCGCAGGUGCCUUCAUUGCAGCACUGCAGGAAGCUGCACUGUGCCCUGAAGAGCCUGGAGCUGUGCUUCCAUGCUGAGGGCUGCGGGCUGCCCCUGGAGACCCUGCACAGCUCUGCCUUCCUGUCUCUAGAGAGCCGCCUGGCCCUCUGCUCCUCCAGCAGCCGCAAGCUCAUCCAGAAGUAUUUCAGCAACAGGAUCCAGGAGCAGCUGGACAUCAGCUCAGAGAAGUACGGGGCCGUGACCAUCAAAGCUCUGUAUCGCCCUGCGGAGCAGAAGCUGCGCGUGGAGGUGCUCAACGCUGCCAACCUCAUCCCAUUGGACUCCAACGCUCACCCUGGAGCCCAGGCACGAGUUCCCAGAGGUGGUGGCCCGCAGCACCCAGUGCAAGAGGAACGAACUGCACCCCCUCUUCGACGAAGCCUUCGAGUUCCUCAUCCCCUCUGAGAAGUGCCGCCAGGACGGGGCCUGCCUGCUGCUCACUGUCUUUGACUACGACACGCUGGGUGCCAAUGACCUGGAGGGAGAAGCUUUCUUCCCCCUGUGCCACGUGCGUGGUCUGGAUGCUGAUGAGGACCAGGCUGACAUGGGCUGGGUGCCCCAAACGCGCCUCCCGCUCACCCACCCCAAACCCAGUGGAGAUGAGAUCCUGCAGCUGUUGGAGUGCAGGAAGGGGGACAAGGAAGCCCAGGCCUUUGUCAAGCUGCGCAAGCAACGAGCCAAGCAGUCCAAGGAGACGGCAUGAGGGGCAGGGUGCACUAAUGGGGGGGUCCAGAGUGGGAUCCUAUGGGGACAGCAGGCCCUGCCCCCAGCAGUGCCCCCCGUGGGGCUCAGGAGGGUCUUGGGGUGGUUGGGGGUUUCCCUGCAGACUAACACUACGUUGCCUGGCCGUGUUCCCAGCCCCAGUGCUCUGCAUGGGCAGCAGCAUCAGUGUGGGGCUGGGGCAAUCUAACCCCCUUGGUUGUCUCUUUUUUUCCCCUUUAUUUUAAACUAAAAGCAUGGAAGCAGG